rnacentral:piRNA from 1 species
UGUCAGGUCAUUUGAGAAAAGCCUAGGC